rnacentral:lncRNA from 1 species
AAUAUUCUGUAUCAGUGCUAUUUCAUCUCUUGCGCAGUUGAUAGGUGCGUGGCAAAACGUCGACCGACAAAACUUCGAAUAAAAAUAACCUUGACCAAACAAAAUGUAGACUGACAGAACGUUGACCGUAGUGGAACCUUAGUCAUCUUUCAAUCACAGUCGAUUUUGAAAAAAUCAAAGCCUUGGUAUUCAGGAAUGGUAUAAAAAUGAAAACAUACACAACAAAUUUACAAGAUCCAUGACCACACUAGACCAGGCAAAUUGCUUGAUGAUUUCUUGCAAUAUUUUGAAUCCACAUGGAUUGGCAUUAUUCAAAAAGGAAAAAGACGACAACCAAAAAUGAAAAAUGAUUUAACAAGAACGAAUUAUACAGUUGUAGUAUGGCAUAAUGGUUCUCAUAAUUGUUUGCAAGUGAAUCAUCCUGCAAAGUAAAAACUUUAAAAAAAUAUAAUCCUUGAACAAGCUUUAACAUAAAUGUAUCAACGACAAAUUCAAAAUGGGCAGUACUUGAACAGAAAAACCAAGAGGAAUAAGAAAGUAAUCGGGGAGAGUACCAAAGCAGCUUUACAGCUUCCUCCGAUACAGCCAAAAUGUGAUUUUGAGAAUAGCCUCUAAAAUAGUGGCAAAAUUUAAGACAAUGGUGGCAAAAUGGUAUCCAUUGGAUGCCAUAUCUCAACAAGAGUGGCCCAAGUCGUUGUGGGUGAAUUUAAUUUUAAAGAAGUCAUUAGCUGAGAAAAGUAAUGAGUGUGUCACUAGUUUGAUAUGAUAUUUUAUAUUUAUAUUAUUAAUUAUCUCGGAACAUUUCUAGAAAUGAACAAAACCUUGGAAUAUAUGAAUUGUAGUUUCAA